rnacentral:tRNA from 1 species
GCCAGAUUGUCCGAGCGGCAAAGGAAGCGGACUGUAAAUCCGCCGGCUUAUGCCUUCGUUGGUUCAAAUCCAACAUCUGGCA